GUCGUCUGAAAAUCACCUGCGGCCUGCUUCCAUGGCCACAGGUGAGACCACGGCGCCCAUAGCGACAGGGGUCUUUAAGCUUAUCCUCCAUAGACUGCGUGUGGGGGAUAAAACCCAGGCCCUGACAGAU